CUUGUACUCCCUCCGUCCGAAAAUACUUGUCAUUGAAAUGGAUGUAUCUAGAUGUAUUUUAGUUCUAUACACAUCCAUUUUGAUGACAAGUAAUUCUGGACGGAGGGAGUACUUG
rfam:Triticum aestivum genome assembly, contig: Triticum_aestivum_CS42_TGACv1_scaffold_051297_1BS